UGGAAUGCUUUUGCUAUGCUAAACAUGGAGGAACCUAAAAGGAGCGGAAGAAACCUCGGCUGGUUUCAAAUCUACUACAAUGCUUUACUGUUAUUUGGUUUUUAAUUUAUGCUUUUAUUUUAACUUUAUCUUUGUAAAAACAUUUUAAUCCCUUUUAAUUUAUGAUUAAGUAACUUAUCAAAAAAAUUAUCUUUUUCAAUCUUCAUCUUUUUUCGUCCCAUAUAUAUUUUUUAUUUCCUUUUCAACUUCAUUUUUCUCCCUUUAGCAUUUGUGUUGAUAAAAUUUGCUAAACACCAUCCAUUUUACUCCAUCAUAUUUGCUAAACACCAUCCAUUUUACUCCGUCAUAUUUGCUAAUAUAAACAACUUUUUAUUUCUAAAAAUCUUAUUUGAACUCUCAUAUAAAUCUCUUCCUAUUUCUUUAUGUGUAUGCAAUUUCAAAAGCAUAUUGUUGGUACCAGGGCCUGUCGAGUCGGGCCUCGGACCAGACAGGCCCGCUAGGCCCACUAGGCUCUAUGGCAGAUAGUUAUAAAUACCUCCCAUGGUGCAACAGGGAGGAGGAUCGGUUACCUGGAAUAGGAAUACUAAAGAGUUGUGUGUGUGAGCACCGGGGAGAGGAUGAUCGAAAGAAGCGAGUUCCACAAGGGGGAAAACUCGAGGCACCCCGGGCAGAAAGGAGCUCGCGACAGGGAGCUUAGCCCGACCACCACGAGGGUGGAGCAACUGCGAGAGGAAGGGGAAGACUCGGACAGAUAUGAGUAGUACUUUUCAUACAGGAAACAGAGCACAGCCUGGGCACUCGAGACCCAGGAGGCAGCAUGGCGGGCGAGAAUAGAG
rnacentral:lncRNA from 1 species